ensembl:lncRNA
GUCAAAUGGUUCCCCCACCACCGGUAUUGGAUACAAUGGAGCACGAGGAACCCCCUGAUUUGGUUUUCCUGCUAGCUGACAGAUCUUACAAGCAUUGCAGUACCUGAUCACAUCCUUUUUCAGACCAGGCCAAGAGAAGUGUCUGAGGACACGGUCAUAAGUCUUCCGGAUGCCCAGGUGCCCUGCCACCGUGUAGUCAUGAGCCAGCGACAACACCUGCUGACGAAACAGUGUGGGCAACACAACCUGGUAUGCGCUCGACUGAAGGUGGAGGAGACUUGUCCUUUUUGUUGGGAGGCAUGUAGGCGGGAUCUGGGUUGUCCACAACCUCUGGGACCGGGACCACUCUGCCCUCUGCUAUGUCGUUGCCCAGUAGAAACAACACCCCAUCUACUGGCAACCGUGGGACCACACCCACACGGCCAGAGACGAUAGACGACGACAGAUAAACCCAGUCCACGGCACAGACAUUGUGCCCAUCUCAACUCCUGUCAAUAAAACAUGUGAUCCAUAAUACGACUUCACAGACCAGGGUAGCGAUGUAGAUACAAUGAUAGACUGAGCAGCCCAAUACUGAGCAGUAUUGUUACUGGCUCGCUUCCUCAUCGCACAGAGACACCCACCCCUUAGAGAGAAAAGGGCUGUACACUACUGCGGGCUUCUUUGGGCUCACAAAGCAAACACCCUUACUCCUAGCUAGCUAGCUGUCUACCUGCCUUUCUACCUCCCUAGCUGUCUUCUUGUCUGUCUAUUUCCCUAACAGCUGUCUUCUUGUCUGUCUGACUCACUAGCUGUCUUCUUGUCUGUCUGUCUGACUCACUAGCUGUCUUCUUGUCUGUCUGUCUGACUCACUAGUUGUCUUCUUGUCUGUCUGUCUGACUCACUAGCGGUCUUGUUGUCUGU